GGAAUCAUGACGGCUGUUAUGUAAAUUACAGCAAAGAAAACUCUCACUGAUGGGUGUUCUAAUUCUCCGUGUCACACAAAUUCCCGUGAGAGACAGUCAGGCAAGCAGCUUGACUCUAGGUGUCCAUCCAGUCAGUCGUCGUUCACUGAUGAGUCAGCUCCAUUAAGGUUUUCAAGUCAACGAGCUAUGAGUACCGAGGUAAAGAGCACACGUUCAGUG